GGGCACCUCACGGAGUGCUGAGCACCUCGUGGCUCACGGCACCGCUUCGAAUCCGUCGCAGCCCGCGGCGGGGCGCGCUGCCUCCGCGUGGCUCCGAGCGGAGGCAUCUCCCGAGCCAGGUGCCCUGCCCGUGGGAGGGAUCGUGGCUGCUCACACACCUCAGCCAGCCCCUGCCUGGGGAAGUUUUGUGUGGCUGAGUGGACGCACGGCACCGAGCCGCUUCCCUCGGUAUCACUGUGGGGCACUUAAACCAGGGCCCGGGCCGUACCGGUUGUAUUUAGGGCUGCGAAACGUGUUGAUAGCUGAGCUAGAGCUGUGACGCUGCUCUUAUUUUUGUAGUUCCACUCCAAAGAUGUUUGUUUGAGACAGGGUGUUGUGGGAGAGCACACGAAGUGCCUGCCCGGCUUGGUAUUCUGUGCUUUUUUCCCCCGAUGUGGGCAGAAAAAAAGAAAGGCGUGACGCAUCUCGAGAUCUUCACACGGGUAAGCUUCCCCGCCCGCAGCUCUUGCCGCCCGUACGUGAGUCAUCCCCUUGCUGCCUGACUGCACAGGAAGAAUCCCGUCCCCGGUGCGAGCUCGGGGGCCGAUUCCCCUUCCGCUGGCCGCAGCAGCGCCUCGCGGCGCGAGGUCUGCCCUGCUGCAGCCUCCCGAGCUUGCGGACAGUUGGGGAUCUGCCUGCGGCCGCUGAAGACGGUCACGUUGACGGGGGCCUGGUUUCCUUGCCCGGAGAUGAAAGCCGCAGCUGUUCUGUUUUUCUUGUGGUUCAUUCCUCGUGUAAGAGGGGAGGGGGGCGGCUACGUGCACAGCUUGACCCACUUAAGAGAAAAAUCCUUUUCUUUUCCUUUUUAUUUCCUAGCUGUCAGCCAGCACAAAGGGAGAGUGGGAGAAGGUCCCUCCUGCCUUGAAAUAGCUCCCAAGUUUUUCGUAGUAAACUUCUGAUGCUGCAAGUACUUGCAGAGGCUAUUUUGGUGAGCGGGAGUGUGAGGUGGGGGGAAGAGAAAGGAAAACAAGUCUGGGAACGUAACCCUGGAGGGAAACGCGCUGUCUGGGGGGGUGGGAGCUCGUGCAACAAGGCGUCGCUGUUUCAGAGAUGCCGACUGCAAAGUCAGGCGCGCUGUCGGGUGGCUGCUUUAAGGCCGGGCUGCGGGGUGGGAGCUGGGGGCUGCUGUCUGCUGCCGGCGGGGGGAAAAAACCGUCUGCCAAGACGUGAAAUCCUGCGUGCAUCAGAGCCGCUCCUUCCUGAAGUUUUAGGGUUCGUGCUGUGCUCCUGCUUUGUCCUGUUUUUUUUUUAAGAAAACAUUGAAGGAUAGUUUACAAAGGCUUUUUUACAACCUGCUUGCUUUUAUAUCCCACGAGCUUUUCCAGAUGUCUCUCAGUCCUCUGUCACUCCAAGUUCUGGGGGAAAUCCCACCCCGCUGAGAGCACUGGGCUGUUCCUAGCAAGCUGAAGCUUCUGCUACCAGGGCCGCUGUACCUCGAGCGUCUCAAUCGCUGUUCCACCAUCAGGUUGUGCCGAGCGGGGCAGCACCAGCUUUUUACCAGGUGGCCGAGAUCAAACCUCACGUCUCUGCGGGAGCUGUCGCCUUGCUUGGUGGCUCCGGCAAAGCAGGAAGGCGCCGAGAGGCCGAGCCGGCACCGAGGGCAGGAGCCUCGGCCGGCAGAGCUCGCACCCCGCGGCAGCAGGGGACUCGCAGCUCAGCCUCCUCCUGCCCAGCAGCCUCCAGUUGCCCUGCUCGUGGCAGCGCUACCGGGGGGUGCCCGGUGCUGCUCGGGGGGCUUGGAAGGGGCUUGCCCCGAAGUGGCAGGCGCAGAGCGAUGCCUGUGGGCAGGAGGUGCCGAGAGCCGUGGUGGGAGAAGCGGCUGGGACCCGGCUUCGGGCACUCGGCCAGCUGGGGCACCGUGGAGCGUAGAUUUUGCCCUAGCCCCCCCCCAGAAAGGGUGGCCGUGUCCUUCCCCUGCGGUUUGGCGGCGUCGCUGGGAGCCGCGGGGCGGCGGCAGGAGCAAACUGCAGGCUUCGACCCUUCCGAGGUAGAAUUCGUCAGGUUGGUGGUUGGGCUUGGUGACCUUGAAGGUUUUUUUUCCAACCUAGGUGGUUCUGUGAUUCUAAAACUAAGCACAGGAGGAAACUGGGUGGGUUUUAUUAGCCGCCGGCCUUGGGCUGGGUUUCCCAUCUGCCCUGCUGUCGGGACCGUGCGGUGCUGUUUGUCUUUACCCCCAGCAGGGAGAAUCGUGCUGCUCGGGGCAGGCCCACGGCUGGAGCUGGAGCGCACCGGGAGGGCUCAGACCUGGCUGGAAACGCACGGGGGAGCCCUCCCCUCUCGCAGGGCUCCCCACUCGCUGCUCCAGAGCACGUGGGAGGGCUUGAAGCCCGUAGUUUUGGGCCAAACCCCCGUAUUUCACACCAGUAGUGCUCCAAGAGCUCUUUGAGGGUUUGAACACAAGCCGAGUGUUUGGGGAGCCCUCCUCAACUCCCCCCAGGAGUUACUUUGUGUGUAAGUAUCAAAAUAAGGCAGUAAAAGAGAAGAAAAUAAACUUUUCUCAGCGUUCAGAGGCUUCC